rnacentral:rRNA from 1 species
CUACGGGGGGCACCAGUGAGGAAUAUUGCACAAUGGGGGGAACCCUGAUGCAGCAACGCCGCGUGGAGGAUGACGCAUUUCGGUGUGUAAACUCCUUUUAUAUGUCAAGAAAAUGACGGUAGCAUAUGAAUAAGCACCGGCUAACUCCGUGCCAGCAGCCGCGGUAAUACGGAGGGUGCAAGCGUUACUCGGAAUCACUGGGCGUAAAGGACGCGUAGGCGGGUUGAAAAGUCAGGUGUGAAAUCCUACAGCUUAACUGUAGAACUGCACUUGAAACUUCUAAUCUAGAGUAUGGGAGGGGGAGAUGGAAUUAGUGGUGUAGGGGUAAAAUCCGUAGAUAUCACUAGGAAUACCUAAAGCGAAGGCGAUCUCCUGGAACAUUACUGACGCUAAGGCGUGAAAGCGUGGGGAGCAAACAGGAUUAGAUACCCAUGUAGUC